CUCAGAACAGCCUCAAUUUGUCGUGAAAUGGACUCUACGAGGUGUCGAACACGGGCCAGCAUCCCUGUGGAACAUGAUCAUUCCAAUGCAUCACACAGUUGUCAAGUUGGCUGGAUGUCCUUUGGGUGGUGGACCAUUCCUUGCACCUACUACCAUAGACCGUUUAAAUCUUUUGUCUUGGCCAUUCACCCAUUGAAUGGCACACAAUCCAUGGUUUCAAUUGUCUCAAGGCUUAAAAAUCCGUCUUUAACCCGUCUCCUCGCCUUCAUCUACACCAGGGCGGCCCAACCCUCUUCCUGGAGAUCUACUGUCCUGUAGGUUUUCAGUCCAAUCCUCUUCCUGGAGAUCUACUGUCCUGUAGGUUUUCACUCCAAUCCUCUUCCUGGAGAUCUACUGUCCUGUAGGUUUUCAGUCCAACCCUCUUCCUGGAGAUCUACUGUCCUGUAGGUUUUCAGUCCAACCCUCUUCCUGGAGAUCUACUGUCCUGUGGGUUUACAGUCCAACCCUCUUCCUGGAGAUCUACUGUCCUGUAGGUUUUCAGUCCAACCCUCUUCCUGGAGAUCUACUGUCCUGUAGGUUUUCAGUCAAACCCUCUUCCUGGAGAUCUACCGUCCUGUAGGUUUUCAGUCCAACCCUCUUCCUGGAGAUCUACCGUCCUGUAGGUUUACAGUCCAACCCUCUUCCUGGAGAUCUACCGUCCUGUGGGUUUACAGUCCAACCCUCUUCCUGGAGAUCUACCG
rnacentral:lncRNA from 1 species